AGGCGGGGGACCCUGUGGCGCGCUACUUUGGGAUAAAGCGUGGGCAGGUGAGCCCUGCGGGGAGAAGGGGCCCUGGGGCUGCUCUGAGCUGACCACUCGGAGAAGGGGGCUUCUGUCCCUCCCCGACAGCCCCUCCCCCUUGACCCAGGGCCUGGAGGGGACCUCGAGACCACACCCCCAAUAUCCGCCUCUUAAAGCCAGGGCCACUGGGCCCAGAGAAGAGCGUGACCCAGGUUCCCAGGGAGCGGGUCCCGCAGCCCGGGUUCAGCCAUCUCGGACCCCUGCCGGCCAUCCCCAGCCCGUGUGCUGCCCGCCUGCUGUCUGGUGACUGCAGUGAGACCCCUCAAGCAUUCGCAGCCCCUGCUCUCUGCCUCUGCAGGUGGUGAAGAUCAUCCGGCCCAGUGAGACGGCUGGCAGGUACAUCACCUACCGGCUGGUGCAGUAGCUACCGCCUGACAGCCCCUAGAGGCAGACACACAGACAGCGACCCCCAUCCCUGCAGGACGAACGCCCCUGCCCUGCCAGAAUCCGGCCCCCCAGCUCACGGCCGCUGCUCCUCUGGACUCCCCAAGGCAGGUGGCCUCCACCCACGUUCUCCCGUCCUGGGGUGAGGCUUCCUGUGGCCCAGCCCGCCCCAUUCACCUGUGGAUUUGUGCGAGAUGCAGCCUCAGAAGGGACAAGGCCCCCAGAGGGAGGUCACCUGGGGGCAGCUGGUGCCGGGUCUUCACCCAGACCACGCUGGGUCUCCACCCAGACCACGCUGGGUCCCCUCUGUUGGG
rnacentral:sRNA from 1 species